AAUUGUUUAUGUGUUUAGGUUUUUAGAAUUUUUGUGUGGUUUUUUUUAUUUAUUUAAUUUAUAUGAGUAGAGUUUUUUUUCAAUUUAGGAUUUUAUUUUUUGGGUGAGGUAUUUUUUUUUUCUUAUGGCGUGCCAGCAGUUUCGGUUAAGGGAUUAAUUUUGUAAGUUUUAUUUUUUUUUCUUUUUGUGCUUUUGUUAAAUUAAGGUGAAAUUUAAUUUUUGAAAGUUUUGGGAAUUGAGGAGAUUUUUAGAAAAGGAAGAGGAUUAGAUACCCUUUUACUUAUAGUUGGGAAGUAGUAUUUUUAAAUUUUGAAACUUGAUUUUGUUGGCGGUUUAAAGGUUUUAUAGAGGGGCUUGAGGCGUUAUAGAUGAUCCUCUUUAGAUUUUUACUAGUUUUUUUACCUUUUGUAUUUUUGUAAUACUCAAAUUUAGAGAUUUGUUGUGGGUAAAUUUUAUUUGGUAUUGCAAAUCAAAAUUUAGGUUAUAGAUUAGAGUUCUUUAGCCACUUUGGUUUUGAGUUUUAAAGGAAGUAUUUAUUAGUAAGUUGGAAGUUUGAGUUUUUUUUGAAUUUUUAACUUUUGAUGUACAUAUUGGCCCGUCGCUUUUAUUUGGAAUAAAAUAAGUCGUAACAAAGUAGAGGUAUCGGAAGGUGUCUCUUG
rnacentral:rRNA from 1 species